rnacentral:lncRNA from 1 species
CGAUUCUUUGCAUUUGUUUGUACUUGUUCACAAUCUAUUACAGUUCUCAUAGGCAAGCAACAUUAUUAACUCAUCAUUAACUAUUUGCACCACAACCAUCAUGUUACAGAUGGGAGAAAGAGGUGGGGGCCAGAGAUGAUAGAAGUUAUGGGUAGAGGUGGAAAUAAUGCUGGGUGAUGAUUAGGAUGGCAGGAAGGGGCAAGCAAGACUCAUUAUCGAGUAGCACCUCUUCUGGCUGCAUCUGUACGUGUUGACAACGGUACGGUUCAGACUGGGAGGUUGAGAGGAGAGAGAAAAGAAUGGGAAAAUGGUAAGCAGUCCCAAGACAACCAGUUCCCAUUUCAUUGUCAUUCCUGGUGGGGGAUAAGAAGAUUAAUCUGGACGGAUAAGAUGGUUCAGAUUGUCCUGGUUGAUGGUUGCUGGGGCUGCAGACCAACUGCAGGUUUCUUUACUUUACAACUGGCAAACCAACGAAUGAUUACAGAUAUACAGGCGAAGCAGAGUGGGGGAGGAGUCUUGCAGGACAUGAACCCCUAUACUUCGGAUCCAGGAACAUCUCUGCCACUGGGAAGAAGACCAGUAGGACGAGCGUGUCCUUGAAAUGGCUUUGGCACGCUGGCUGCACAGUACGACGUCUACACUCUCAGUAUCUCCCUAUUAUCUCCCUAUUUAUCCAUCGCUCCUCUUUU